CUGAGCUCCCCCACAGGGUGGCAAGAAAAGGAGCCCCUGUGUCCCCAGAGACAUUCAGCAGUGGCUUGUCAAAAACGUGGAAGAGCAGCGUUAAUAUUGAGCUCCUAGUGUGUGCCAGGCGCUCUCUAUAUACAUCCUUUGAUGUGUUGCCCCAUUAACACUUGGAGAGCUGAGGCUGAGAGAGAUAACAAGACUGCGAGUUAAGAGAGAGAAGUGGCUUGCCGACAUUAUACAGCAAGGAAAGUGGCUCCACCAUGAACCACCCCUAGCCUGUGCUACUCCAGAGAAGAUGAAGAAACAACCUAGCAAGGUUAGGAAAUUUGCCCAAAGUCGCAUAACCAGGAUGUGAAGAAACUGGUCUUUCUGACUCCAAAGUUCAUACUUUUCCUCUUACGCCACAUCCCUUCUCUGGCACCAAUCACCUUGAAUUGCAAAUACUUCUUGUCACUGUCUUCGCCAUGGCCUGCGAGCCCUACAAGGCAGUUGGUGGCUCUGAUUUCGGGACUGUGACCCCACUGCCCAGUAAGGGGUUUGCUCCCAAGUGUCUGAUCCUAAAAGUGUAAUGGGAGUGAGUGACUUGUUCCAUUUGCAGGGACCCAGCCUGGAAAGGAAAAGCAGUAUGUUUGUCCUCUCCCUGUGCAGGGACAGGCCCACUAUCUCUCCUGGAAGGCGAUAAAGGGGCAGCUCUUGCCUCCUUGAGGACUUACAGAUGUUUCCUGAGGCCAUGAGGGCAUUUCUGCCUCUUGCCAGUUCAUGUGAGCGGCGGGGAAAGCCAGCCUCAUGGCUCUGCUGGUGUGAAUGUCAACAACCAACUCUAGCCAGCAACCUGGAAAUUUCUCUGCAACGUUAAGGCCAGUAGAGGCCCACGGAGGAUGGAGGCCCCAUCACCAGCUUGUCGGAUUCUUGCUGAAGACCUGAAAGAGCUCCACCGUAGAGACAGCAGGACCUGCUGGUUGAGACCUCCAGCUCUGCAGUCACCUCUAGCCUGGAAAACCAUCUCCAUCACUUAGUAAAUCUGUGGCCUUGGCAAGUUUCUCAACCUCUCUAAACCUCAAUUACUUCACUUUUAGCAGAGAGUAAUUCCUUCCUUUUCAAAAUUAUGUACAAAAAAAGAUAACGUAUAUAAAACCCUUACCACCAAGCACAGUGCUCGCAUACAACAAUAACACUAAUGAUGAUGGUAACAGUAAUAAUAACUUAGUAUCAAACUAUCCGUUGUAGAUUUUUGUUGUUUGCAGCUAAAAAUCCUGACUGAUAUGGUGAAUGUGAUUUGUUGGGGGAGCAGAGUGUUUUCUAGAAGGACAGGCCACUUGGACCCGAGAGGUGGUUUCCCCCGGUCCAGGACACGUGCUGAUGGAGAAAGCGAUCUGCCAUCUUUUGGGUGUGAGCAUGUGCUGCUCCUGCUCUGGACCCCAACUCCUGGAGUAACCUGAGAAGGGAGAGACCUGGUCAAGAUUCUGUCCCCAGUCUUCUUCUUUUUUUUCUUUCUUUUUAAAGAUUUAAUUUUUUUCCUUUUUCUUCCCAAAGCCCUCCAGUACACAGUUGCACAUUCUUAGUUGUGGGUCCCUCUAGUUGUGGCAUGUGGGACGCCGCCUCAGCGUGGCUCGAUGACUGGCACCAUGUCUGCACCUAGGAUCCGAACCGGUGAAACCCUGGGCUGCCGCAGCAAAGCGUGAGAACUUAACCACUCGGCCACGGGGCCAGCCCCAUCCCCACUCUUUUGAAUCCCAAGUAGCAAACAAUCAUUUCUUUGUCCCUACUACCUAGUAUAGGACGGAACAAUUAGCAGUUAUUAAAAUUAUAUGCUAUUUUUAAAAGAAAGUGAAUAAUCAUUUAUAUUGAACAAUAUUUAAAAGUUAGAAAGUAUUUUCACAAGGAUUACUUUAUUUCCAUUGUUUACGCAUGCAAAUACCCACAAAAAAAGAGAUGAGCUUUAUUUAAAUCCUUCUUGAGCUCUUCCAGUUUUCACCCACAGGCCUCCAGGGAAGAAACUGAAAGACUUGUGCAAUUUUGGAUUGUAAUCUUUUCACUGGACAUUCUUUCGUAUAUAUUUUCCGUGUCUCCAUGAGAUUUAUAUCUGUCAUUUUUAAGCGUGUCAUAGUAUUCCUUCAAAUGAAUGGGCCAAACGUUGUUCAUCUACCUGUCAUUUGGCACCUGAAAGUUCCAGGUUUCUGCUAUCAUAUGUAAAACUAUCAACCUUUAUUAAAACAAGCUUUUAAAACAAUUUUAGAAGUAUUUCUUUAGGGCUGAUUCCUAGAAGCAGACUGAGGGACCAAAGGAUAGGAAUGGGUUUUCUUGGCCUUGUUACUGAAGGUUAGAUCAUCCUAAAGAAAGAUGAAA
rnacentral:lncRNA from 1 species